UGGGGAAUAUUGGACAAUGGACCAAAAGUCUGAUCCAGCAAUUCUGUGUGCACGAUGACGUUUUUCGGAAUGUAAAGUGCUUUCAGUUGGGAAGAAGAAAGUGACGGUACCAACAGAAGAAGCGACGGCUAAAUACGUGCCAGCAGCCGCGGUAAUACGUAUGUCGCAAGCGUUAUCCGGAUUUAUUGGGCGUAAAGCGCGUCUAGGCGGCAAGGUAAGUCUGAUGUGAAAAUGCGGGGCUCAACUCCGUAUUGCGUUGGAAACUGCCUUACUAGAGUACUGGAGAGGUAGGCGGAACUACAAGUGUAGAGGUGAAAUUCGUAGAUAUUUGUAGGAAUGCCGAUGGGGAAGCCAGCCUACUGGACAGAUACUGACGCUAAAGCGCGAAAGCGUGGGUAGCAAACAG
rnacentral:rRNA from 1 species